rnacentral:lncRNA from 1 species
UUUCACGGGACCUAUCCCAAAAAGCUUGAGAAAUUGCAGUAGCUUGUUGAGACUCAGACUUGAGAGAAACCAACUUAGUGGAAACAUAUCUGAAGCUUUUGGCACACAUCCUCAUUUGUACUACAUGGAUUUGAGUGAUAAUGAAUUGCACGGUGAACUUUCAUUGAAAUGGGAGCAGUUUAACAAUCUGACCGCCUUCAGAAUUUCUGGAAACAACAUAUCUGGAGAGAUACCAGCUGCUCUUGGAAAGGCAACUCAUCUACAAGCUCUUGACCUCUCGUCAAAUCAACUGGCUGGGAGAAUUCCCAAAGAAUUGGGAAAUUUGAAGUUGAUUGAACUUGCACUCAACGAUAACAGACUUUCAGGUGAUAUUCCUUUCGAUGUCGCAUCGCUAUCUGAUCUAGAAAAGCUUGGCCUGGCAGCGAACAAUUUUAGUGCAACAAUUCUUAAACAGCUUGGCAAGUGCUCAAAACUGAUAUUCUUGAAUAUGAGCAAGAAUAGAUUCACAGGGAGUAUUCCUGCCGAGAUGGGGUCUUUACAGUCUCUUCAAAGUCUUGAUCUCAGUUGGAAUUCCCUCAUGGGAGAUAUAGCGCCAAAGCUUGGACAGCUGCAGCAGCUAGAGUUUCUGAACCUCUCCCACAAUAUGCUGUCUGGUCUCAUUCCAACCAGUUUAAGUAGACUGCAAGGCCUCACUAAAGUGGAUGUAUCCUAUAACAAGCUGGAGGGUCCCAUUCCUGACAUCAAAGCCUUUCGCGAGGCACCAUUUGAAGCAAUUCGCAACAACACCAACCUGUGUGGCAAAGCAACUGGUUUGGAGGCUUGUUCUGCUCUCAUGAAAAACAAAACUGUGCAUAAGAAGGGCCCCAAAGUUGUCUUUUUGACAGUAUUUUCUCUGCUGGGUAGUUUGAUGGGCCUGAUUGUAGGUUUUCUUAUCUUUUUCCAAAGCAGAAGAAAGAAAAGGUUAGUGGAAACACCACAAAGAGAUGUUACCGCGAGAUGGUGCCCUGGUGGGGAUCUGCGCUACGAGGAUAUCAUUGAGGCAACUGAGGAAUUCGACUCCAAAUAUUGCAUUGGUACUGGAGGGUAUGGAGUUGUAUACAAAGCUGUACUUCCAUCAGAACAAUUCCUUGCCGUUAAGAAAUUCCACCAAACACCAGAAGUUGAGAUGAGCAGCUUGAAAGCUUUUAGAAGCGAGAUUGAUGUCUUAAUGGGUAUACGACAUCGAAACAUUGUGAAGCUGUAUGGUUUCUGCUCGCAUGCCAAACACUCUUUUUUGGUAUAUGAAUUUGUGGAAAAGGGAAGCUUAAGAAAGGUACUGAACGACGAGGAACAAGCAGGAAAGAUGGAUUGGGAUAAAAGGAUGAAUCUUAUCAAAGGCGUUGCCAAUGCUUUAUCCUACAUGCACCAUGACUGCUCCCCUCCGAUUAUUCAUAGAGACAUUUCCAGCAACAAUGUUCUUUUGGAUUCAGAAUAUGAGGCUCAUGUCUCUGACUUCGGCACAGCCAGGCUCUUAAUGCCUGACUCGUCCAAUUGGACAUCAUUUGCUGGCACCUUUGGGUACACAGCUCCAGGUAUGUAGUUAAGUUUCAAAUAUCACCUUCUACAUUAGGUUAGUUUACAGAAUCACUAGAAAACAAAAUAGGUGCAGUAAAUUAUUUUGGCAAAAUAUAGCAUGACCAGCCUCCUUUGCAGAGUUGGCGUACACAAUGAAAGUGGAUGAAAAAUGUGAUGUGUAUAGCUUUGGAGUAUUAACAUUGGAAGUAAUGAUGGGAAAGCAUCCUGGCGAUUUGAUCUCAUCUCUGAUGUUAUCUGCUUCCACCUCCUCAUCAUCACCAAUUGGUCACAAUACAGUCUUGAAGGACGUCUUAGACCAGCGCCUCCCACCUCCUGAAAACGAGCUUGCUGAUGGUGUGGCACAUGUUGCAAAACUGGCGUUUGCUUGCUUGCAGACCGAUCCUCACUAUCGGCCAACAAUGCGACAGGUUUCUACAGAGCUUACAACUCGAUGGCCUCCAUUGCCAAAGCUAUUCUCCACGAUGGAAUUGGAAGAUAUAAUGGUUCACAGAAAUGUUAUUGGCUGAAUUUUUACAGUAUACUUGGGCGUUUGUGAAAAGCAACUUGUUUGACAAAAUGUAAUAUUCAAUAAUCAAGUCUAUGUUAGAUAUUCCGUCCAAAGCAUCAUUUUAGAUGAACUUGGUGAAUGUCAUGAAUCAUGUAAUUUAUUGCCUUCAUUUGUAUCAAUUUCCUUUCUACUACAUAUUUGUUUUGGAGAGUAAUAAACAAUCCAAAUGCCAACACAAAGACCGUACAAUAUUGAUGAACAAAAUUUCCACAAUCAAACCAAACCCGUCCUGGAAAAUCAAAUAACGUCAUUUGUCACGUGAAAUUCCAUAUUUAUUCCUCUUAGAAAGAAACAAAUAAGUAAGACAAGCUCCUCAAGUACAGAAGCUAUGCAGAAAAGCUUUCAAACUUGCUUUUGAAAUAUUGCACAAAUCUUUAAAUCACACGUUGCAAAAACAUGUCAGGUCUUCACCUACAUAUUCUUGCAAAGCACCAAAUCUCUUACUCAUGAAGAUUCAAGUCUUCAAGUAUUAUUUUGUAAAGAAUUUACGAUGUACACAAUUUCAAUAAAAACAAAUAUUUUCUAGCCAGGAUUUGAAUCUAAAAACUUCGUAUUAAAAAUUCAAAACUACAAGGUCUUAACUCUUGAAUGGAUCGUCCCCCUAUCCGUGGUGUACUUCCCAGCCCUGUGAUAAGGAAUGCUGCUUCUGCUCAAAAACUCUGUUGUUAGCCCUCAAGCAAACUCUAACAGAACCCUAAUUGAAUAUAACAGCUGAAAACAUCCCAGUGAAGUGCUUGGGAUUCAAAAACUGAAGUCUAAUAAUAAUGGACUACUUGAAGCAAAGCAGAAGUUACGAGACACUCAUGAUGCGUCUGUUGUGGAUAAAAAGGCUGUUUCCGUAGAAAGCAAUUUUCAAGACGAAUAGGAACCUUGUGGCAGUUGAUUUGAAACAUAGGAAUUGGAAGGAUCAAAAUUCAGAAUGUCUGCAAAACAAUGAUUUUCAUAUUUAGAGUAGGGAUUGAGAAGGGAAUUCUGUUCUCUGUACUCUUGACAUCAUUGAUAAUAAUCUACAGCAGAUUUACUCCUGCACUUCAACGCAGCCACAUAAGCACCAUCCCAAACUGAAACACUACAAGGCAAUCAUCCAAUAGCAAACAAAAAUCAAUUAAAGAUGGCAAUAGACCAAAACCUCGUUCAAAUAAAAUUGACAGAUGAAUCAUAUAGCAGUCAAGGGAAAAUAUAAUUGAUAAAAUAUAGCUGAUUUUCUGCUUAAAUUGUGUCAGUGACUAACUUCAGUUGAAGGUUUUAAAGAGGGCAUCUGGAUAUGGGGAUUACUCUUCCUAUAUGGCUACUUGCUGAGUUACUGGAAUAGUAGUGAGUUUCUUGACAGGAAACCAACCAGGAAAUCAAAUAUAACAGAGACCAAACACAAAAUUUAGGGCAAUAGUAUGUAUCAGCAGGGAGAACCAAGCAUUUCCAGACAAAUGCAAAGUCUUUCGUUAUGGCAUUUGAUGCUUUUGUGGUCUCAAGCAUGAUCCACCUGGUGAUCCCAGAAGUUGUAAAGGCUUGUUGAAGAGACUUGCUUCACCUUCAAGUUUCAUUCUGACCAGCCAACUCAAAACUGUUGAUGUGAGCCAUCAGAGCAAUAAAAUUUCUUCAGCUUCUUUCUACAAUUUUAACAGCUCUUUUCCAUUUUUCUCAAGGUGUAAUUCCAGGAACAUAAGGGACAGCGGGCUUGGGCUUCUUUAUUUUUUCAACCAGCACAGCUUGAGUUGUUAGAACUAUCCCAGCAAUUGAGACAGCACUUUGAAGUGCACACCUAGAAACUCUACAAGGAUCUACCACCCCUGCAUUGAGAAGAUCUUCAUAUCUACCAGUCAUUGCAUUGUAACCAGUUCUCCAGUCACAAGAUCGAAUAUUCUCCACCACAACUGCUCCAUCAACCCCUGCAUUAGUUGCAAUUGUUUUUGCAGGUGCAAGAAGUGCCUGUAAUGCAUCAUUGGUAUGUGUUACUACAUGGGAGAAGAAAUUUCCCUUUAUAGUCAUUUAGAAACCCCUACUUGUAGGGUUUCUCCAUGCUACGCCCUGCAUUUAUAACCAUUUCACAAGGAUGUCCAACUUUAUCACUAAUUAUGAAAGGAACCUUGGUCCGUUUUACCAGUCUUGUGCAAUAAUCUGCUUUAGCACAAACGCUGCAUGGUAACUCAUUCACAAACGCUGCUUAUUUCUAUCUGAGACGCAACAAAUAACUUUUGAAAAAAGAAAGGAACCGAGAACAGACCUUUGCAACAAUAUCAGCACCAAUCUUCUCAUUUUCAUCUUUCAUGGAAUUUUUUAUUGAGAAGAUCUGCUCCGAGAGAUGUACAUGUGUUGCACCACCACCAGGUACUAUCCCUUCAUCCAUGGCAGCAAAUGUAGCAUUCUUUGCAUCUUCAAUUCUGAGUUUCCUAUCUUCAAGUUCUGUCUCCGUGUGUGCUCCUACCUAAAUUUGCAUGCUAAACAAGUUAAAUCUAAAGAUAACUUUAAAAUAAAACACCACCAAACAAAAUAUUAGAGUCCUGUCGUUUGUCUUAGUAUUUUUUAAGGAAAACAGGGCAGAAAAUUCAUCCCUGCUACUGAGCUAACGCCACUCAAGGAGCCCAUGUCGUUCGCAGUAAUUCUUCACACUUAUAGCCAGAUUUGUCAAGAUGCCCAUCUAUUUUUCCGAAAUAUAUUGUAUACAAGUUUAGCAAUUCUUUCUGAGAGCUUGAUCACAAACCUUGAUUACAGCCACACCACCAGAUAAUUUAGCAAUUCUCUCUGAGAGCUUUCUUGAAAGGGCAGCAUUAUCUGUUUCAGCGAGGUCCUUUUUUAUCUGAAGAAUUCUUGCCUGAAUUUCAGCUUUGGUAGCUGAGUCAGCAACUAUGGUUGUUGAAUUACUUGUUAUGGUAACUUUUCGUGCAAUGCCAAGUUGAUCCGAGGUUACACUUCCGAGUGUCAGCCCAAAAUCACCAGAGAGAAAAUCAGCACCUGAUGGUUUUGGUAUGGCAUGAAUUACACAGCAUAUCAGAUGCAAUGACCUUCCUAUGAUAGUCAUAUGAGAACAGAAUACAAUCUUGCGCAAGCAUCCAAGUAAAGAAUUUAUUAUUUGUAGUGCAUAAAAAGUAUUUAUAAUUUUUUUAAUUGAGGCCUCGGUAAUCAUCAAAGGAUUUUACAAUCUUAACAAAGCAUCCAAGUAAAACAUUUAUUGUUUCUAGUGCAUGAAAAAGAGUAAUAGUUCUUAUAAUUGAGGAGAGUAACGAUUCUUAUAUUUGAGACCUAGGUAAUUAUCAAAGGAUAUCUUAAUUAACAUGAUAUACUCAAGAGUUUAUGCACCUGCAAGGGUCAUACACAAACAUAUAAGAGCAUCCAGUGCACACAUAGGAAGGCUCGCAUAUGUAACACGAACCCAACUCAUGAGGAAGAUAAAUAAUUCAUUAACUGAUAUGUCAAUAUAUUUCAAUAUAGCAAAACUUAGAAUAACCAAUUUAAGUUGGAAAGAAAGAUGCAAUUUCACCUGUCAUAAGAGCAAUGUCUUGCAACAAUGCUUUCUUUCGAUCUCCAAAUCCAGGGCAUUUGACAACAGCAACAUUGAGCAAACCUUUCAUUUUGUUCAACACUAGUGUUUCCAAAACCAGCUUUGAGAUAUCCUCAGCAAUGAUUAACAAUGGGACACUGAGUUGGGUAGUCUUCUCCAACACAGGAACUAUUUCUUGGACAUUUGCAAUCUUCUGAUCCGUUACAAGGACUUUGGCCUUGUCAAACUCCACCAAAGAUUUUUCCUGGUUUGUGAUGAAUUGGGGUGACAUAUAACCCUUGUCAAACUGCAGAGAAAGAACACCAAACUUAACUGGAAAUGAAAACAUACAUACUUCAUAAACAGAGAAAAAGUUGAAAAAUUUAUCCACUCAUAGGAGGCAGAGUGUUUACACAAGUAUUGCUACCCUGUUACUGAAAAAACAAAAUAGUUAACCUGGAAAGUACAAAGAGCAGAAGCUCAACCAACCUAAAUAUUUACAGAUAAUGAAUGGUUUAACCAUUCAGACUAUGACUAAUGAUAUAACAUAAAAUCAUAAACUUCUAACAUAAACUUUGAUGUAAUGCCAAUUUUCCAGUGAUUUAUCUGACAGGAUUUUUCAAACCAUAUUGAGAACUAGCAGCUUAAUCACCUUCAUUCCUUCUUCUAUUAUCACAAAUGUAUCAGAGGUUGAAGAUGAUUCAAGAGAGAUUACUCCAUCAGAGCCAAUCUUCUCUAUAGUUUCAGCAAUUAGGUUCCCAACAAAUUCAUCAUUUCCAGCAGAAAUUGAAGCGACCGCUGCAAGGAGAAGAAAUUCUAGAUUGUAGUUUCCAAGUCAAAACGAUGGUUUUGAACAAAGUUUAAAUAAAGAUGGCAUAGAGACCUUUUAUAUUAUCCUUCCCUUUUACUGGAAAACUAUCCUUCUUCAACACUUUGACCAACUCUUUGACAGCCAUAUCCAUUCCUUUCUUUACAAAAACAGGGUUAGCCCCAAAACUGACUGCCAACAUCCCUGUUUUGAUCAUUUCACGAGCCAAAAUAAUAGCAGUAGUAGUGCCAUCUCCAGCCAUAUCAUUCAUUUUACUAGCAACCUGCAAUAAGUCACUUCAAUAUCACAUUUAUCAUCGAUCAACAUCAAAUAACACAUCAACAAAAUAUUAAGGAGAGGAUAAUGUAGCAACCAUGAAUGACCUCUUGGAUUAAAAUUGCUCCAAUAUUCUCCAUUGAAUCCGGAAGCUCUAUUGCACGAGCUAUUGUAACACCAUCAUUUACUACUUUUAGCGUCUUUGAAUCCGAAAGAACAACAUUACGACCUGCAUAGUUUCACAUCUUACUGACUUAACACCGUCACCAUCAAUAAAGACUGACAAUUUACUAUACAAUAAAUCAAAAAUGAUCUUUUUCUCUCAGAAUUAGUCCCUCUUAUGGUUGCACAAGGAAUUAUUUAAGUAGUAGUUUUAUUAUUUGAACAACAACAAUUACAAAUGUGUCGUCUUGUAAAACUUAUGCUUGAAGAACCAAAAUUUAAAAAACAAAGAAAAAUAUCCAUACAAAACAUGGAAAAGAAGCAUAACUCAGUUUACCUUUAGGCCCUAAAGUGAGAGAAACAGCAUCAGCAAGCUUAUCAAUUCCUGCCUGCAAGGCUUCUCUACAAUCUUUACCAAAAGAUAUCUUCUUUGGACCUGCUCUUACCACUAAUUUAUUCACUACUUGAUGGUUUCUCCAUAUCCCACUUGCUCUUUUGUUCCCACCAAGACUCUGCAACAAUAUUCCAUGUUUACGCAUCAAAAUCAAAACACUCAGACACCAUUGCUUCUCUCAUAACCCUUUGCUUCUCUCAGACUUUGCAAUAGCAUGUUCUUCGGCCCAUAACCUAGCAAGUCUAGAUUAUAUAUAUAAAAACCGUCAAAACCCUGUUAACUUUUUUUAAAAAGUAAAAACUUUAAAUAAUAUUUUUUUAUUUUUUAAAAAUAAUUUUUGAAGCCAAAUCAAGCUAUAGAUUAAACCCGCUCUCGAUUGAUUUUUGAAUUUAAUAAAUGUGUUUAUUUGGAAUUAAUUUAUGGAUUAAUAAUAUAUUAAGAAACUAGGUUCUUUCUAUUAAUAAUUAAAUCUAAAAACGGAUGGAUAUUUGAUAUAUAUAAAAAAUAGCAUUAUUAACCAUGUUUAUUUAGUAAACGUUAGUGGCUCAUGUGUUCCUGUUCACCGGUAGUUUAUUUAGUACAGAAUGUGUACAAAUUAAACCCAACAAAUAUAAUCACAUAAGCUAUAGAUUAAUGCAAGAAUGUACAAAUUCCAUGCACCAAACGGAAGAAUCAGACGGCAAAUACAAUCAUCACAGAUCACCUUAUAGCACGGUCGGCUAGAAGCCUCAUACCAUACAUACUAGUAGUAUAUAUAUAUAUAAUUUCUCUUAAAUGCAUUAAAUUAGAUAUAAUUAACUCAAAUAUUAAAACCUGAUUAGAAAGAAAUUUAACUCUAAAGAGCAAGAAUUUGUACCCAAUAUCUUAUUUGAGACAUCAGUCUUGUGAUUACGUGUUCUAAGAGAGACUCCAAAUUAAUUAACAAAUAGAAACUUAGCUUUGAGAUUAUUCUCCUUUAUCCGAAAGUGACACAUCUACCAAACCAAUUAAUUUAAUUUCAACUAUUAAAAUCAUACCAUGCCCCGUUUAAAAACACAACACUCAAACCAUAAGAUUUAACUAACUUAAUGAUUAAAGCCCUAAACACAUAAUUAUAAAACCAUUCUGUUGUCGGAUGGUGAUAAAACACCAAGAGAAUGUCAAACCGUAAAUCACGAUUAAUAAAUAAUCAAACACGUCAUUAACAUUAAUCAUCAUAAACUAUGAGCUUGUUGUUUUAUUGAUCCCCACAGCACUUAAUUUGGCGGUGUCCCUACUUGGCCCAACACUCUCUGGCGACAAAUAUCGGCUGAUGAUUCGUCUGAGCAAUAUUUUUUGGGGGCUGUUAAAUCUUGGAACAUGAACAUUGGCGUCGGUGAUCUACGAGGAAAUGGCAAGGAAAGUGAGAGUUUUGUUUUGCUACUAAAAUCGGCGACUUGCGCUAUAAUCUUGUUGACAAGAGAAUAUAUAAUUUUGGGACCCAAAAGGAGAGAAGCUCGUGCGGGAGGAGAAAUAAUUGAAAAUGAAAAUAAAAACAAGGGAUGAUUUGAUCGCCAUGGGAGGACCAGCUAGCUAGCCAUGAAUUGUGGGCUUCAAUUAUAUAGUAAGGAUUUGACACUAUUUCACGUCACUGGAGAAUGAGAGUGCAACCACUGCAUAAUUUUAGAUUACAGGAGGUUGAGAGGGUUGAUUGUUUAUUUUAAGUUUGACUUACUUCCAUUAUAUAUCUCUUAGCUUAUGAUCAAUAAUGUUUUUGUAGUGUUUGUUAGCAUGAGGGAAUAAACAGAGAGAAAGACCAGAACAGGAGGACACAACUCGAGGGGACGAACAACACAGGGGAGACCUGGAAACGCAAACAGAGGCGAAUGAACAGAAGCAAACCAGGAAAUAAAGAAAAAAGAAAGCAAAAGAAAAGCAAGAAGAGGGGAGGGUAACAUCAGCCAGAAAGAACAAGCCUCCUUCUUCAGCAGCCCCCUGAAACAGGUAAGCUUCCUUUCCCUUUGCAAAAUUCAAAUAAGUUCGGUACUGUGUGAAGGUAAUUAUAAUUACCUUCGCACUGUGCACAUAAUACGUGAAUAGUUAACGCAUGUCUGCCUCAGCCAGCCGGGUCACUGGCCUGGACCAGUGACCAGGCUGGGCUGGCUUUGUCCAGCCCGGCUUGUAUGGGCUGGGUCAAAUUCAUCCAAAAAAAAGAUGAGGCCCGGAUGGGCCUGGUUUCCAGCCCAAUUGGUUUUGGGUCUAGGGUGUGUUUAGCAAAACACACCUUUAUGUCUUAUCCCUUUUAUUUCAUCUUUUUUUUAUUUUGUUAUUUAGCCAAACAUGCCUUUUGAGAUAUCAGAAAAUUCUGAAAAUAUUUGUGGAUGUAUUUUUUUAGAUAUUUCACUCUAAUAUUGAUAUGUGGAUUUUUACUAUGAAAUGCAAAUCGGGUAUAUGAUAUAUUGUUUUCAUUUUAAAAAAUAAAAAAAAUAUGGAUGCAUUGAUUUAAAUUCAUUUUACUAGUUUAUUGACUAUUGUCAAAGUCAGAAAUAUUAUUUUUUUGCUAAAUAAUAUUUACCAACAUCAAAGUUAGAAAUAUCCGUAAUUGGAAAUUCACUAACGACAGAGUCAAAAAUAUUACAAGCAGACUAUUAUAACAUCAAUUAACAAAUUUUUUGCAAUUUAAGACAAAAUCAGUAAUGCAACUUACCUCGAGUAAGAUGCUUAAAGAGUGAUAAUAUCUUAUCUUUUCCGUAACUAUUUUCGUACUAUAAAAUUUUUAUUGAUCAAUUAUGAUUUUUAAUGAUUAUAAUAUUAGGUGGAAACUUUUUAAGGAUUUUUUUUCUAUAAAAAAAGUAAGAUGUGAAAAAUUUGUUUUUUUUUAAAUUAUUUAAAUUUUUAAAGUUGGUCGCGAUCCCACUAGGUGGGCAGCUUGCACCGAAAAAUUUGUCAACUUUCUUUAGAAAUAACAGGAUAUUAGAUGGACUUCUAUAGAUGCUGUUGGGUAAUCCGGUGGUGUUUUAGUCUUAUGGAAUGAUAACAACUUCAAAGUUGACUCCAAAGAAUAUGGGGGACAGUGGAUUGCUAUCUUUGGUGUUCAUUCUUCCUCAGAUUUUGCUUGUGCCGUAGUGGCCUUACAGUUCAUGUUAGCUGGUUCUAGAACAAGUGCUAUAAUAUUAUGUAAAAUUUGUAGAAUCAGUAGAAAGUGCUUAAGUAAAAUGAGGAAAACCUGGUGAAUGAUGGAUUUUUGUUUUUGAAGUUGAAGUUUCACAAUUAGAUAUUUCUUGCAAUAAUAGGGGAAGUCAAGCAAUGAAGUACUGUUUGGAUGAGGCAUCACCAGUUGUAAGAACAACUAGCUAAAUGAUUUCCCAGAAUCAUCAUCAGCUACGUCCUCAAUAUCUGAGCAAAUUUGGAAAAGGGAGGUUUACAGCGUGCCCACUGGGAGGCUGCUUUCUUUUCAAAUUAUUUUGAUCAAAUUUCUUUAUUUUAAAAAUUUCUCCGAGCUCUAGAGUGUUUAGACAAGAUGAUUAAAAUAAUGUUAAUCAAUCAAUUGUGAUCAAAUCAUGUAAGCCUGUCUGAAACCUGCAAAGUUCUCAUGAUUUGAUCACAAACCUGAAUGGAUGCAUUGCUUUCUUAUUUGUCACAGGUGCACAUUUGAUUGAAGGACUUGGUGCUGGCGUUCGUUGUACCUCCUGCUUUGGAUAAUGACCUGCUUAAUUGAUGAAGUUUCGCACUGGUUAAGAAAUUGAGUUUGUUGGCACAUAAAUUUCGAACCUGGAAUCAUGAUAUCUGUGGUUGUUAUAACUCAAUUUUUUUGAAUUUUUGAUUUUAUCUUAAUGUUUUUAAAAUUUUUCUUACUUUGUAAAAAAAUGAUAAUGAAAAAAUUAAAAAAAAUGAAAUGAAAAAAUAAAUAAAUUAAAAUUUGAGUUAAAACGAUAUAAAUUGAAAGUUUGAAAACUUAAUUAAAUUUUGGAUUAGUUUAAUCAAUUAAAUUAAAAGCUUAAUUGAAGAAUUGAUAAAUUUAAGAAUUUAUUAAAUUUAAAAUUAGUUCCAUUAAUAAAAUCAAGAAGUUAAUUAGAAAAUAUCAAAGUUUAAUGUUUUUUUUUUUUUAAAGAAGCUGUUAUUAUUAAGAAAGGCAUAAUUGUUAUAUGCAAUCAUUACACAUAGAAGAAGUUUGGUGAAUUAGCUAGCGAACCUACAUAACAUAAACCCUAGAUCAAUAAAAUCGAUCCACUAUCUGUUCCCUGCAUAGGAGCCAAAACAAAGCCCCAAACACCAUAAUCUGCAUUGGUUUAACAAAGUACCGAUAAAUUAUCUAUGAGGGUCAUAGCCAAGCCAUAAAAUCAGAUAUUUUGUGCACUCCUUGUUUAGUGAGAUGAUCUGCUAUGUGAUUGCUUUCCCGGGAAGAAUGAGUUUAAUGUUGAUUAUGGUGUUGAUUAUGAUCUGCCACAAAAUCAAAGUUUAAUGUUGAUUCUAGUUAAAAUUUGAUAUAGCAGUGGAAGGAUUGUCAGUAUCGUUUCAAAGAGCUUGCACAUCGGGCUAUUUAGCUUCUUUUUAUUAAAAUUCGAUUAUUACCCAAAAAAACAAAACAAGAAGAAGAAAAAGAAGUAAACUAUACUCAAAACGAAUAUUCAAUCUUCGUUGAUAGUACUGUUCAACCCCUCUUAGGACGCAAUUGAAUAUUCGAUCUUCUUACUUGUACCUGUCCAAAAGAAACUUGCCACUUGGUACAAACUUUUAUGCAAGAGUAACACCCAUACCCCUAGUCGACACCUCUCAAAACGAAAUUAAAUUUUUUGCUUCUUUUUUAAUAUAUAUAAAUGUUUAUUUUGAAAUAGCACAGUUAGAAAAAAAUAAUUAGCAAGAAAAUAAUAUAAAAUUGCAUUGAAGGAUGAUCACCCAGUGCAGAGGCUCAUAUAUAUUUUUUUUAAUCAUGGAAUAUAAUAAUUUUUUGAACCACAUAAUGGUGCAAAAUAAUAUAUCUCUGUACUUCAUUAAAAAAAAGUUGUCAGAAUGAGUCUGUAUUCAAGUAAUUGUGACAAAUACUUCAUUUCUCUUCUAGAAUGACAAUUUAUAUUAGUUUAUAACUUUAUACAUACUCCUUCUAAAACGCAAUUGAAUAUUCCAUCUUGAUGAAUGAUCAAGUCAAGGAAUGGGAGUAUACAAAAGUCUUCAUCUCUUAAUAAUAUUCAGAUUUCGUUUUUUUUUUUUAAUCAUAGAAUAUAAUAAUCUUAUUAAGCAGCAAAAUAAUACAUCUCUUAUAUUUCAUAAAAAAAUUAUCCGAGAAUGGAUCCAUAGCUAAAACCCUGAUGAACCAAGGCUAGAAGAGUCUGUUACAUGAUUUAUUAUUACUAAUUUAUUGUAACUGCCUAGCUCUAGAAUCUGUUCACAGCUGAUUUCCUCUUCUUCUGUAACCGUUUUCUAGAAACAAUAUAUAUAUAUGAUUUACUCACCUUAGAGAUAAAGUGAACAUAUAUUCUAAUUCCAACAUAAAUAUUCUAAUAAUCGUGACAAAUACUUCAUUUACCUUCUAGCCUACACAUGCUCCUGCUAUCACGCAAUUAAAUAUUCCAUCAACAUAAAUAUUGUUGGAAUAACAAUUUAAAUUAGUCUACACAUGCUCCUGCUAUCACGCAAUUAAUUAUUCCAUCUUGAGUCAAAGUAAAGUUAUAAAUAUUUUUAGUUGGAAACAAUUUUAUGGCUUCAAUCAAAACGUUAUCACUAAAGGAGUCGAGUUCUAAAUUAUACUAACUUAUUAUAAUACUUUCAUCAUCAAAACAAAUUGAUUUGAGUAGAUUAUUACCAAACACACUUCUAAUUUAUUUCCUGUUAGUUUCCGAUCGAUGAUGCCGCUUCUUCCCAACCCUUUGAAUCAUAGACGAGUCCAGUCAGUCCCUAAUCUUCUCUGGUGGCCUGACUUUGAAUCAUACAAGUCAAUUAUAAAAAAUAAUUUUAGAUAGAAAUGAAUUUCUACAAACAAAAUAAAAUCAAUUCAAAGAAGUCAUCAGAAUGGGUCCAUAGCGGAAACCCCAACACAAAUAUUAUAGUAAUCGUGACAAAUGCUUCAUUUCCCUUCUAGAGUGGCAAUUUAAAUUAGUCUACACGUACUCAUCCUAAGAUGCAAUUGAAUAUUCCAUCUUGAUUUAUAACUACCUGAUUUCUGGAUCUAUAAUCAGCACAUAGACAAGAUCUUUUUUUCAAAUAUUCUAAUAAUCGUGACAAAUACUUCAUUUUCCUUCUAGAGUGGCAAUUUAAAUUAGUCCACACGUACUCAUCCUGAGAUGCAAUUGAAUAUUCCAUCUUGAUUUAUAACGACUUGAUUUCUGGAUCUAUGAUCAACAAAUAAACAAGAUUUUUUUUCCAAAUAUUUUAAUAAUCAUGACAAAUACUUCAUUUCCCUUCUAGAAUGUCAAUUUAAAUUAGUCCACAUGUACUCAUCCUAAGAUGCAAUUGAAUAUUCCAUCUUGAUUUAUAACGACCUGAUUUCUGGAUAUAUGAUAAGUACAUAAAAGAGAUUUUUUUCCCAAAUAUUCUAAUAAUCAUGACAGAUACUUCAUUUCCCUUCUAGAAUGGCAAUUUAAAUUAGUCCACACGUAUUCAUCCUAAGAUGCAAUUGAAUAUUCCAUCUUGAUUUAUAACAACCUGAUUUUUGGAUCUAUGAUCGGCACAUAAACAAGAUCUUUUUUCAUGGUUUUAUAUCUAUACGAAUCAAAAUUUAUAUACGAACUUAUCCUUUAAAUAACUCAAUUAGAAUUAUUCGUAAUACUAAUAAUAAAAUUAACUUCAUAAUAUUAUUUGAUUGUCUUAAUACAAGAGUUAAAUACAAGCUCCUGUAAUUGUAGAUCACUAACUAGAUAUAAAAAAAAAAAUAUUAAUUACAACAGAAACAGGUUCUGAGGGUCCAGCAAAAAUAAUCUACUAACAAAUUAUAAAUCAAAAAAAUAUAAAUAAUGAAAGGGUGAGUUCAACAACUUCAUAAAUAGAUAACGUUCAUUAUACAUGUAUAACUAUUUGCUUGGAUGGAAUCGAAGUUCAAGUUGUCUGGAUGCAUAUACAUAUUCUUUUCCACAUGGUACCAUUUUAUUUAUUCCAAUAACCUAUACCGUCCAAAAUGAAUUAUUUCUUUGCCAUUCUUUUUUUUUUUUUAUGGAAAAAAAAAGAUUCUGUCUCGGGCAACGAAACCUGCUUUUAGCAAAGAUCCGGCUGCUGAGAUUUUUUUACUUUGUUCCCUUUAUAUACCUGAAUGCUUACAGAAAUAUUUAUCUUUACCUGGACGGCAAAUAAUAUGCCCUCGCGAAGACGGCACCCUGACUUGGUUGCAUUUUCUGUGAGAUAUUUGCUUGUUUUACAAAAAUAUUUGUGUUUUUAGGUACUAGUAAGCUAUAUAAUCCAAAAUAACUAUUCGUUGCCUUGCACUGGGGGUUUGAAAUUGCAUCCUAAAAGGCAUUUCUAAUUAAUUUGAAAAACAAAAUAAUUUAAUUUUUUUUUAAUAUUUCUUAACUGUUUAAAAGUGCUGAUAUAAAAUAUAAUUUUUAAAAAUUAAAAAUAUAUAUUAUUUUGAUGCAUUACAAGUGAAAACACGUUAUAAAACAAUUAUUACGACACUUUUAAACACCUCAUAAUAGUUAAGAAAAGAAAUAUAAUAAGAUUUGUAUAAGAAUAAUUAGAAGAUAUAAAAAAUAUUUAGUUUUUAUUUAUACAUAUUAAUUAAAAACUUAUUACAACCUUUUAUAUAGAAAAAAAAAAAAGAGAAGCUAUUAUUACUAAAAAGAAAAAAAAACUAUUUUCUUUAAAUAGAAAAAUUAUAAGAGCCUAAUAAUAUUGAAUAAAAAACUAAAAAAAAAUUCUAAAUUAAAAAAUUAAAAAUUAAAAAUUAAAAAAAAAGUUAUUUGACGUCAACUAGUGCAUUAAGAAAAUUUUUUAAAUGAAUCCUAAGAUUUAAACUCAAAGGAUAAAAAAGAAAAGGGAAUAAACAUCAUUAAUUAAUCACCAGAUCUUCCACCGUGAUUCAGGGAUUAAAGGAUGUCCUUGUUUUGCGUGGAUAAAUCACAAAUUAUCCCCAUCAAUUAUUUUUAGUUGAAUUGAUUUGAUUGAUCGAAAUGAACCGACAAAAGAAGUGAAAAGGAUUUAGCAAUAGGUUCCGAGCUAUUCAAUCUUCUUUCUUUGACCUGUCCAAAAGAAACUUACCACUCGAUGCAAACUUCCCAUAAUCUACAAACCUCUCAAGACGCAAUUAAGUUUAUGAAAAUAUUUUAAAACCUAGCAAACGACGAGCCCUAUAUUAAAAACUUUUUAUUAGGAUAAACAAAGCUAGAUAAUAACAACACACAGUAUCAGUGGCUCGAAUCUUAAAAAGAGUGGUUUAUAUUGAAGAAUAAAACUUGUGGAAAUAAAAGAACUAAUCGGCCACUGUUAUCUAAUCUUCCAUUAUCAGCUAGCUUAAUUGAUUUGGUUGAUCGAAAUGAACUGACAAGAGAAGUGAAAAGGAAUUAACAAUAGUCCAAAAUUAUGUGCCAAACUAUAGUACUGGGACGCCAUUGGAUAUUCAAACUAUAGUCUACACCUCUCAAUACGCAAUUAAGUUUUCUGCCUUUUGUUUUGGUUUUUAUUUUGAAAGAGCUCCCUUAGUGAAAAUAAGGAGCGCAUGGAGAGAAGAAUGGGCAAACUAGCAUGCUUUGGAGAGUAAUGCUAUUCUCGUUACCAUAAUCUAUUCAAUUUUAAGAUGUUGUGCUUCUGAUAUUUAAUGAGUUGCGUUGUUCUAAUAAUUCUCGUAACUUCGUCAUAAAAGGAGUUUUUCUUUCAUGACUUCAAGUUACCAUGACUCUAGUAAAAAAUAAUUCAUUUUCUGUAAAAUGAAUGGGCACACUACCAUGGCUCGUUUGUGUAAUAUUCCAUCCUUUUUUGUAAUGGUACAAAAGCAAAUAUUUACAAAAUUUCUAGUCAAGAUACUAAAAAUAACCCAGUUCAUUAGCUAUUGUGAUAAUGAUUACUUUUUAAAUUAGUUUUCUCUUGGAAAUACAUUUAAAUAUUUUUUUUAAAAAAAUUAUUUUUGAUAUCGAUACAUCAAAAUAAUCUAAAAACAUAAAAAAAUUAAUUAAUACAACAAAACUCUUGAUUUUUGUUUGGUAAAAAAAUUAAUUAAUACAACAUCAAAAUAAUUUAUUUUUUUUGUUUUAUAAUAAACAUAAAUGAAUUAUCAUAAGCUCUUGAUAUUUUUUUAUUGGUAAUGAUAAUAAACUUCUUUUCAGUAUUGACAAAUUAGUAUGCAACUAAGAAUCUUGAUGAUGUAAUAAAAACCACUCCUAUUAAUUUCCACAAACAAACCAAACUUAUCCUAAAAGGAGUGGCCAAUGCUUUCUAUUUUCUUAAAUAAUUGACAAAAUUUUCAAAUUUGAAAUUUGAUAGCGAAUGUCACCAUUGAUAGGUGAAGCCCAAAGACAAGGUUUUUUUUUUUUUUUUUUUCAAACAUAUAAUUGAAUAUUCCUUCUUCUCUUUUCUAUUCAAAAGGAAAUCUUACACACGCAGAUAUACGCUCUCUUGUGGACUGAAAAGUUUUUUAAAUAUUGUAGCUACAUUUAUUUAUAUUAUCUUUAUUAGUUUUAAGCAGAAAUAGUAAUAUCUUUAAUACUCAUGAAAAAUAAUCAACUUCAAGCAUUAAUAAAUUAUUUUUAAAAAUUUUCUUAUAACAUGGCCAAAUAAUAAAAACAAAUAUUUUAUUUUUCAUGAAAAAUAAUUUAUUUUUUAAUAAUUCUUUUUUUAUGAAAAUAUUUUAAAAACCAGCAAACGAUUCCUAAAUUAAAAGCUUUUUAUCAGAAUAUACAAAGCCAGAUACCAACAACACACAAUAUCACUGCCUCAAAUCUUAGAAAGAAUGGUUUAUAUUGAAGAAUAAAACUUCUGGCCGGAAAUAAAACAAACUGAUCGGCAAUUGUUACCUAAUCUUCCAUUAUUAGCUAACUGAAUUGAUUUGGUUGAUGGAAAUGAACCGACAAAAGAAGUGAAAAGGAAAUUUUAGGCAACAUAUCACGUAACCAUUGAAUAUUCAAUCUUCUUACUUUGACCUCUACAAACUAUAGUCUUCACCUCGCAAGACGCAAUUAAGUUUUCUGCGUUUUGUUUGGGUUUUUAUUUUGAAAGAGCACACUUUGUGAAAAUAAUAGCAAAGGAGCGCACAUGGAGAGAAAAAUGGGCAAACUUAAGAUGUUGUGCUUUUGAUGUUGCGUUAUUCUAAUCGACGUAACCUCGUCAUCUUGUAGCCAGGGCCACUUUUAUGAUAUGGACAGAGGAAGCCCGCACAUCACGGACAAUUUGGGCCACCUUCACCUGUUACAUCAACGUGUCAUUCUUAAAUUAAAAUUUAAAAUUAUAAUAAUUAUUAUUAUUGUUUAUAUAUUGACUUGCGUUGUCUUCCUUGCAUAUGAUUUAGGCCUUCUCUCGUUGAUCUUUUAGUCGAAUUUUAAACCUAUAAGAAUUAUUAUUUUAAUUUAUAUAUUAUCUCAAGUCACCUCAUGUCAACUCUCCCGAUCAGUGACUUGAAUUGUACCCCGGUCAAUUCUCGAGUCGGAUUUUAAAAUUAUAAUAAUAAUUUUUAUGAUAUAAUUUUACGAGUUAAUAUAUAUUUAUCAUGCAAAAUCACGUAAAAAAUACAAAAAAUAAUAAAUAGAACUGAAACCGUGUAAAAUCAAUAACAUAAGAAAAAGUCAUGAUUUUACGAUCUUACAAAUAAUUCCAAAUUCUUAUCUUUCUCAUUGAAUAUCCUUGUGUUUACUCCCUAAUGCACCAGCCCCACAAGCACUUGUAUCAAUGGAUUCUUUCUUUAAUUAAUAGUACAAGGAUGAAGGAAAUAUAAUCUUGCUGAAACCCUUUUUAAUAAAUAAAAAAUUGUCUAUUAUGAGACAAGAUUUUGAAUAUUUUUAUUCUAUAGGGAUAUUUUUAUAAAUAAGAGUAACAGACCAUGCUCUAAAGUCUGAUCUAUUAUAUGGUUAUGCCGAAAUACCAUAAUUUUUUUAACAAGUUUACAUCAUUAUGACUUCUCUAUAAAAAAUCUCAUAACUUGUCUAAUAUAUGAUCUAACAAGCAACCAAACUUCAAGAUUUUAAAAAAGAAAUAUCUAACUUUGAAUUGUUUGAUUCUUUCAUUUUAGUUCAUACAAAGCAUAAAACUCUUUAUUGAUCUACUUGUUGAGAUUUAUGAUAUGUAACAAAUAAUAUCUGAAAUUUAUGAAAAUUUAACAAUAUCUAAAAGAAAGCAUAAUGCGUUUUUGUCUUUACUGUCUUCAUCUUUUUUUUUUUUUACAUAAUAAUAACAAAACACUAUCUUUUUAUUGUUAAAUUACGUUUUAUUAGGAUAAGAAAAUUUAUGUUUGUUAUUUAACAAGUAUAUUUAUGUUUGUUAUUUGGUAAAUAUAAUUAUAUUUCUUAAUUUGAAUUAUUAUGUAGGGGUAUGACAUUAAAAUUUAAUAUUUAUGUAUGAGUAUGUUUGAUGUUAAGUGUUUAUAUUUAUUUUCUAAUGCUUAAAGGAUAUAAAAGGAUAAUUGCCUAAACCCCAUUGUAAAAACAAUUGUCAUACAAAAAUCCCAAAUAUCUAACUCUUAAUCCAUUAACUAAUUUGUCAUUUUCAAUAUAUAUAAAAAAUUAUUUUAAGGUUUUAAAAAUAUCAAUAAAUUUUACUUAAUAAGCUUAUAUGUCAAUAAUAUUAUAUUUAAAAUAUUUAUAUUAUAUGUAUAGUUACGUUUUAUAAAACUAAUGUUCUAUAUAUAUUAGAUAAACUUGAAAAAAAAAAUUAAUAUUUUUUAUGAUAUAGAAAAAACAAUAAAAAUUGUUUUUUUAAUUUAUUUUUCUAAAAUGUAGGUUUCAAUAAAAUCACUUUUAAAACCAGUUAAUGAGGCCUAAAUCUAUUUUUUUUUAUUAGGAUAUACAGAACCAAAUACCAACACACAACACCAGGGUCUCACAUCAUAGACUUUUAGAAUGAGUGGUUCAUAUUGAAGAAUAAAAUUUCAGGAAAUAAAAUAAAUUACAGAUUGGUCUAAAUUAGAAAUUUCCUGCUAGUCUCCUCGGUUGCUUUCAUUUGAACUCUGAUUUUUUAGGAUCACUUCUCAAUAUCUUACUUACCUUAAUUGAUCUUCUAGCAAAAGGAUACUUCAUUUUUAACGAAGAUGCUGACUGGCUGGGUGGCUUCCUCUGCCUCCAACCCUCCAUCUUUAAUUGAUCUAUCUUCCUCGAUAGGUGGCACAAGUUUCUUCCCAUGGUGAACUGACUUUUUUGUAACAUAAAAAAAAAUGAUGUUAAAACAAUGUCAAUAUAUUUUUAAUAAAGAAAAUUCAUGACUUAACAUAUAAAAAGAAAAUAAAAAAUUUGGUUGAUUUGGUUAAUUCAUUAACUAUUUUCUUAAUUUUUUAUUUUUUAAAAUAAUUGUAUUUUAACCCUUUUUUAUAAAAUAAAAAAAAAAUUGAUCGACUUGAGUUAACUCAAGUUAACUCACCUGACUUGUGACUCGGUACUUGUCCUGAAUCGACUCCCGAGCCGAGUCUAAAAGCUUUGAGAAACAUCAUUAAGACCAGCUCCUUAAUUAAUAAAUAAAAUGUUGACUGGUGAAAUAAAUAAAAAAUUUAAUUAUUUAAAAGAAAAAAAUAACAAUUAGAAAAAUAAAAAUCUAAUUUGAAAAAAAAAUAAGAUGUCAACCUAAAAGUUCUAAUUAAGGGGUAAAAUUAAAAUUAAAAAUAAAAUUAAUAAAAGAAUCCAAAAAAAAAUAAGAGAUUGAGUACCAAAUUUGAAAAAAAAAAUCAAGAUUAGAAUCCAAAGAUAAAAAUUUAAAACAAAUUAAGAUUUGAUAAAAAAAAAAUUCAAAAUUAAUAUCGUCAAAUUUUUCAAAAUCAAAAUCCAUCUCCACCGAAUCUUACUCGUGCAUUUAUAAUGAAACAAAAUCUAUCAUUUCUUUCCCAUAUAUAUACGUAUGCGGGGCAAAUCAUUUUAUACAUCCUUUUUAAGAAAGUAAACCACCAAGGCCAUGGCUUCCCACAUCUUUCUCUUUUCCACACCUUUUUUGGUUUUUUCCUCACUUGCUUAUGCUUCCUUCUUUGCUUCUUUUGCUAACUCGGGUAGUACUGGAGCUGCUGAAGUAGCAAAUGGAAGGAAGGAAGCGGAAGCUCUUCUAGAAUGGAAAGUCACUCUUGACAACCAAAGCCAGUCUCUCCUGUCUUCUUGGGCUGGAGACAGCCCUUGCAACUGGUUCGGAAUCAGCUGCGACAAGUCCGGUAGUGUCAGCAACAUAAGUCUGUCCAAUUCUAGUUUGAGAGGUACGCUUAAUAGUCUCCGAUUCUCUUCCUUUCCUAACUUGAUUGAGCUUACCCUUUACAACAACUCGCUCUAUGGGUCCAUUCCUUCACAUAUAGGUAACCUUUCUAACCUCUCCAUCCUUUACUUGUCUUUCAAUAACCUUUCUGGCAACAUACCACCAGAAGUUGGAAAUUUAGUAUCUCUCACUUUUUUAAUUUUGUCAUCUAAUAAAUUAACUGGUACAAUACCAGUAUCUUUAGAAAAUUUAAAAAGCUUAUCUGUACUUAGCCUUUGGAAUAACAGUCUUUCUGGUCCCCUUACUAUUAUUGGAAACCUCACGAGAUCUCUCACCAUUUUAGAUUUAUCAUCUAAUAAACUAACCGGUACAAUACCAGCAUCUCUAGGCAAUUUAAAAAGCUUAUCUCAACUUUCCCUUGCAGACAACAAUCUUUUUGGUCCCAUUAUUUUUAUUGGAAACUUGACGAGAUCUCUCACCUUUUUAGAUUUAUCAUCUAAUAAACUAAUCGGUACAAUACCAGCGUCUCUAGGCAAUUUAAAAAGCUUAUCUCACCUUCACCUUCAGAAUAACAGUCUUUCUGGUCCCAUUACUUUAAUCAAAAACUUGACGAGAUCUCUAACCUUUUUAGAUUUAUCAUCUAAUAAACUAACCGGUACAAUACCAGCAUCUCUAGGCAAUUUAAAAAGCUUAUCUCAACUUUCCCUUGCAGACAACAAUCUUUUUGGUCCUGUUAUUUUUAUCGGAAACUUGACGAGAUCUCUCACCUAUUUAGAUUUAUCAUCUAAUAAACUUAGUGGUGCUAUUCCUGUUAGGUAUGUUGCCAUUACAUGUUCAACUAAUGGUGGCUACAACCAUUGACUUUGGUAGCCACCAUUGUUGAAGAAGAGAAGAAGUUGGCAGCAGCCUUUGUUGAAGAAGAGAGGAGUUUGGCAGCCACCAUUAAUGAUAAAGGAGCAAGAGAAGCCACCAUUAAUGCCUAUAAAAGAGGCAUGAUCUUAGAGAGCAAAGUGUGAGAGAAAACGUGAGUGUAAUAGAGAGAAAGAGUGAAUGGCAGCAGCCCUGCUGCCAUUGCAGCAAUGAGAGAUGGGAGUUGAGUGGAUGUGAUCCUCCUCCAUGUAUUUAUUGUAUCCUUUCUCUAAUCUCUAAAUGAUAUUGUCUCUCCCGUGGAUGUAGGCGGUUUUGCCGAACCACGUAAAAUAUUGUGUGUCAGUGAGCUUACCCCUCUAUGAGCAAUUAUCAGUACAUCACCGGUCGCCGGAAUUCCCAACAAUUGGUAUCAGAGCAUAUGGUUUUAGUGGUGUUUGAUUUUUUGCUCAAAAAUGAAAGUUGUCAAAAUGGUGUUUUGACCAUCCCACUGUGUAGAGGAGGAAGAGACGAAGCCACUGGUGAAAACCGCGUCCAAAUCGGACGUCGGAUAUGGCCGCACUCUCCAUCACUCUCCGGCAAGGUGUCUGCCCACGCGCCCCACGCGUGCCACGCGUCUUCUUCACCCGGAUGAGUUGACCCGACCCGAAUACCAGUUGAUCCAACCCAUGUGAACAGUAGGCAUGAACAGUGAUGCUAUCAUGAACAGUGACAUGCAAAAGGAUGACACCAGCAUGAUGCAAGGAUGACAUCAGCAUACACAGUCAGCAAGCCAUUGACUAGUCAACAGCCAUGUCAGCAUAGUGGGACCCACUGGCCAUGUCAUCAGCCGCGAGCCGAGCCAAGUUAAGCCGAGCCGAGCCGCGAGCCGAGGGAUAUGAUUCUGUUCAGCAGAGUCUACGUGCAACCGAAUCUGAGAUUGAAUCUGAGAUUGAAUCUGAGCCGUUUAUAAGGCCAGAAUUGUUUUGAUCAAAUCUUAGCCGUCUAAAGUGCGAUUUGGACGAUUCAAGACAUGUUUCCAGCUAAUUUGAUCAUUCCGGAUACAAUGGUAUGGUCCGAUCAUUGAGAUUCGAGACCAAAAAUGGCGGUGGUGAAUUAUUAAAGAGAGAUUGCCCGAUCAGGAGGUAUCUGAAGGUCAUCAUGGUGGUCGAUGGAGAUUAAGAAGAAGAAGGUGCACAUGUUUACCCAAUUACAUGUGCUGAACUGUUAAGUGAGAAAUGUAAUGCCUUGAUGGAAGGCAAAAUUGGGACACUCUGGACACCCGGUCAUGUGGACGAUUUGAGGUGGAGAGUGGAAAUUGACGAAGACCAAUCUUGACGAAUCUAAGCACUGGUAGUCUCGCUAAAUGUUGAGAAAUCAUGUAUUAAACCUGUAUAUUCCAGAUCACUUGUAAAGCAAAGCCGCAACAAAGCUAGCAAAUGGUUGUAUAUACGGAGAGACAGUACGAUGGAUAGAUAUGGCCUAAGAAGUUCUGUCUAGGAGAUUGGGUUUUAAGCGGGACCGUUGUGACCCCUCCAAUCUUUCCUGGGAACUUGCUUAGUGGAAUGAUUAUCCAUACGAUACUAUUUUCGUAUAUAUAACAGUUUGUAAUGAAAUGGUUGAAGACUAGCAGGAUGACGGCACAAGGGGAACAAUUGGGUUCCGCAUGAUCAAGGAUCUGAUGAAGUGGUGAUUUCUCCAAAGAAGGCAGAUUCGGUGACUGUGAUUUCUCGAGAGGAGAAUUGAUGAAGACCCUGAUAAUGGAAGAGAAAUACAGCAAGGGGAUAAAGAUUGGCACCCUAUUUUGACUUAGACAGGUGUUGUGACGGGAUGAGCUGCUGUCAAACAUAAGCAAGGAAUAGAGAGAAAUCUGGAGAACAAUAAUUGCACGAGGGCACACGAAGAUUGUGCAAGAGUACCCGAGGGAUCCAACGAGGUACUGUAAUGAGACAACAGGUGCAAGGAGAAGAAGUGUUCCCAGAUGAAGCUCAGAGCAGAGACUGUUAAAGUUUGUACAACAGAAAGUCUCUUAUGCUCUUGAUGAAGACAACAGGCGAAGACCUUUCCAAUGCAUGCAAAGAUGGAAAGAUGAGUUUGUUGCAGAGACACCUAAUUGAGGGGGUGCGAACGCCUGUGAUAAAAGGCGACCGCCUAUGAUGAAAGGUGAAGACACCAAAGAGAGUUGGUGUAGGUGAAGCUGUCAAGCAGAAAGGUGUAGAAGCUCCAAACAUAGAAAUCGAGGUGGAGGAUUGCGAGGAGUAUACCGCAAGUUUCUCUUUCUAUGUAGUUAGUGGCAGUAAUCUCUCCCAAGUCCACAUGGUGGUAGAGAAUCUUAGAGCCACUAGAGACAUCCCCGAUGAAGGAGGAUGUGGCCGUCUCAUGAUGACAGGUGGAGAUACCUCAGGAGAAGGUGUGAGGACCAUGUUAUGAGUCCAAGUUCAGACCGUCUCAUGACGACAGGCAAAGACACCUUAGAGAGAAGGUGUGAGGGCCAUGAGAGGAGCCCCAUUUCAGACCGCCGCAUGACGACGAGCGGAGACACCCGAGAAGAAGGUGUGUGGGCCAAGAUACGAGCCCAGUUCAGAACGCCCCAGAGCCAAUGUGAUGGCUGGAUAUGAGUGGACAAAUGGAUAGCCAAUGAAGUGGCUAUGAUGAGUAUGAAGACAAAUGCAGGAUUGACUUUCAUGGAUAUUGCCCCCAUGCUAAAGAUCAAUGAGCUAGAAGACAUUUGCCUUGGACAAUAAGUGUGUGACUUGUGGAGCAUUAAGACGCGGCUGCUAUGAAGGAGCAGAGGGCAUGCGCAGGUUCCGGGAACGAGUUGACUCUUAUCAAGGUGGUGAGCUCAGUAAUGGCAUUGUAAUACUCAGAGUAUGAAGACAUACAUGAAUCAACCUUUAAUGGGCUGCCCCCAUGGUUAAAGGUGGAGAGCUACCUGGACUCUUACGACUAAGAGCGAGAGACUCACGGAGAAGUAAGGCGUGGUUCCUAAGGUGGAACAGAGGGCAGGCACAACUCCUAGAUGAGUAGACUCUUGGAAGAGUGGUGAGCUCGUGAUCAUAUUGAGAUACUCAGAUAAUGACUGUCGCACUUGGGAAUAUUCGUUUGAGGGGGUGUUGUAAGCCUUAGUGUGAGGCUUGAUAAAUCAUUCCGGACCGAGCAUGGUUGAUUCGCUCGAAGGGGAAUGUAUCCCAGAGACAAGCGUUAACACUCUUCAGAUGUGAUGUGUGAGACCAUCUGGUUGAAGUGAUCCUUUGGUGUAAGCAAGGGUGUGCUUUGGUGACUCUGGUGAUUGAAAGGUUGGGCGAGUACCUGUAAACUUGGCCACAUAUGCUCUCAGAAUGGUAAGCUUGGAAGAGCUGCAAGAUGCAAGCUUGUGCUGAAAAAGCAAGCGGACAAUUGCCCCACAUGAAUGGCAAAGGGGGUGAUUGUUAGGUAUGUUGCCAUUACAUGUUCAACUAAUGGUGGCUACAACCAUUGACUUUGGUAGCCACCAUUGUUGAAGAAGAGAAGAAGUUGGCAGCAGCCUUUGUUGAAGAAGAGAGGAGUUUGGCAGCCACCAUUAAUGAUAAAGGAGCAAGAGAAGCCACCAUUAAUGCCUAUAAAAGAGGCAUGAUCUUAGAGAGCAAAGUGUGAGAGAAAACGUGAGUGUAAUAGAGAGAAAGAGAGAAUGGCAGCAGCCCUGCUGCCAUUGCAGCAAUGAGAGAUGGGAGUUGAGUGGAUGUGAUCCUCCUCCAUGUAUUUAUUGUAUCCUUUCUCUAAUCUCUAAAUGAUAUUGUCUCUCCCGUGGAUGUAGGCGGUUUUGCCGAACCACGUAAAAUAUUGUGUGUCAGUGAGCUUACCCCUCUAUGAGCAAUUAUCAGUACAUCACCGGUCGCCGGAAUUCCCAACAAUUCCUACGUCCAUAGGAAACUUAAGCAAAUUGUCUCAUCUUUACCUUUACAGCAACGAACUCUCUGGUUUCAUACCUAGGGAAGUAGGAAUGCUUGAACAUCUAUCUGCCCUGCAGUUGCUCUUUAAUAAUUUAGAAGGUCCAAUCCCUGCUUCCAUAGGAAACAUGAGAUCUCUCACCAGUUUACUUUUGUCAUAUAAUUAUCUAAUCGGUCCAAUACCAGCAUCUUUAGGAAACUUAGGAAACCUGACUACCCUUAACUUGUCAUUUAAUAAUAUAACUGGUCUCAUUCCUCCAGAAUUGAACAACCUUACACAUUUGUAUUCGUUACAAAUAUAUUCUAAUAGAUUGUCUGGUAAUCUUCCACGAGAUGUGUGCCUUGGUGGAUUACUUUCAUAUUUUUCAGCGUUUGAAAAUUAUUUCACGGGACCUAUCCCAAAAAGCUUGAGAAAUUGCAGCAGCUUGUUGAGACUCAGACUUGACAGAAACCAACUUCGUGGAAACAUAUCUGAAGCUUUUGGCACACAUCCUCAUUUGAACUACAUGGAUUUGAGUGAUAAUGAAUUGCACGGUGAACUUUCAUUGAAAUGGGAGCAGUUUAACAAUCUGACGGCCUUCAAGAUUUCUGGAAACAAGAUUUCUGGAGAAAUACCAGCAGCUCUUGGAAAGGCAACUCAUCUACAAGCACUUGACCUCUCGUCAAAUCAACUAGUUGGGAGAAUUCCCAAAGAAUUGGGAAAUUUGAAGUUGAUAGAACUUGCACUCAGCGAUAACAUACUUUCAGGUGAUAUUCCUUUUGAUGUCGCAUCGCUAUCUGAUCUUGAAAGGAUUGGCCUGGCUGCGAACAAUUUUAGUGCAACAAUUCUUAAGCAGCUUGGUACCUGUUCAAAACUGAUAUUUUUGAAUAUCAGCAAGAAUAGAUUGACAGGGAGUAUUCCAGCUGAGAUGGGGUCUUUACAGUCUCUUGAAAGUCUUGAUCUCAGUUUGAAUUCCCUGAUGGGAGGUAUAGCACCGGAGCUUGGACAGCUGCAGCGGCUAGAGGUAUUAAACCUCUCCCAUAAUAUGUUGUCUGGUCUAAUUCCAACCAGUUUUAGUAGACUGCAAGGCCUCACUAAGGUGGAUGUAUCCUAUAACAAGCUAGAGGGCCCCAUUCCUGACAUCAAAGCCUUUCGCGAGGCACCAUUUGAAGCAAUUCGCAACAACACCAACCUUUACUGUGCAAUGCUACUGUUUGGAGGCUUGUGCUCUCAUGAAAAACAAAACUGUGCACAAGAAGGCCCCAAAGUUGUCUUUUUGACUGUAUUUUCUCUGCUGGGUAGUUUGUUGGGCCUGAUUGUAGGUUUUCUUAUCUUUUUCCAAAGCAGAAAAAAAAAAGGUUAGUGGAAACACCACAAAGAGAUGUUACCGCGAGAUGGUGCCUGGUGGGGAUCUGCGCUACGAGGACAUCAUUGAGGCAACUGAGGAAUUCGACUCCAAAUAUUGCAUUGGUACUGGAGGGUAUGGAGUUGUAUACAAAGUGUACUUCCAUCAGAACAAGUCCUUGCCGUGAAGAAAUUCCACCAAACACCAGAAGUUGAGAUGAGCAGCUUGAAAGCUUUUAGAAGCGAGAUUGAUGUCUUAAUGGGUAUACGGCAUCGAAAAUUGUGAAGCUGUAUGGUUUCUGCUCGCAUGCCAAACACUCAUUUUUGGUAUAUGAAUUUGUGGAAAGGGAAGUUUAAGAAAGGUACUGAACGACGAGGAACAAGCAGGAAAGAUGGAUUGGGAUAAAAGGAUGAAUCUUAUCAAAGGCGUAGCCAAUGCUUUAUCCUACAUGCACCAUGACUGCUCCCUCCGAUUAUUCAUAGAGACAUUUCCAGCAACAAUGUUCUUUUGGAUUCAGAAUAUGAGGCUCAUGUCUCUGACUUCGGCACAGCCAGGCUCUUAAUGCCUGACUCGUCCAAUUGGACAUCAUUUGCUGGCACCUUUGGGUACACAGCUCCAGGUAUGUAGUUAAGUUUCAAUAUCACCUUCUAUAGUAGGUUAGUUUACAAAAUCACUUGAAAACAAAAUAGGUGCAGUAAAUUAUUUUGGCAAAAUAUAGCAUGACCAGCCUCUUUUGCAGAGUUGGCAUACACAAUGAAAGUGGAUGAAAAAUGUGAUGUUUAUAGCUUUGGAGUAUUAACAUUGGAAGUAAUGAUGGGAAAGCAUCCUGGCGAUUUCAUCUCAUCUCUGAUGUUUUCUGCUUCCACCUCCUCAUCAUCACCAAGCGGUCACAAUACACUCUUGAAGGAUGUUUUAGACCAGCGCCUGCCACCUCCUGAAAACGAGCUUGCGGACGGUGUGGCACACGUUGCAAAACUAGCGUUUGCUUGCUUGCAGACCGAUCCCCAUUAUCGGCCAACAAUGCGACAAGUUUCUACAGAGCUUACAACUCGUUCGCCACCAUUGCCAAAGCUAUUCUCCACGAUAGAAUUGGAAGAUGAACUGGUUCGCAGGAAUGUUAAAGGUUGAAUUUUUACAUAUACUUUCCUGUCAAGGAUCCAGGAGCUCAGCUGGUAAUAGAGUCCCACACCUUUCAUGAGGUGUUAUUAUCUGUCUUGGAUAUUCAGUCCAAAGUCUUACAUUUCGUCUAUUUAUUGUGUAUAUUAUAUGCAGAAACAAGAAACAGAGUUUUCCCAUUUCGAGCGUAAAUUCGCCAGGUGAAAUAUUUCACAUAUUUUUAGUUUUCUUUAGCAACAAUGGAAGAAAUCAACAUAUUUUCUCCUUUUUUUGUUUUCCAAUAAACGAUAAUGAAUUAUAAUAAGCUCUUGAUUUUAUUUUUUAAUUGGUAAUGAUAAUAAGCUUCUUUCAAUAUUGCCAAAUCAGUAAUACAACUAAAAAUCUUGAUGAUAUAAUAAAAACCACUCCCUUUCAUUUCCACAAUUAAAACAAACUUGUCCUAAAAGAAGUGGCCACUGCUUUCUGUUUUCUUAAAUAAUUGACAAAAUUUCCAAAUUUGAGAUUUCAUAGCGAAUAUCACCAGUUUUUUUUUUUUUUUUCAAAAGAAACUUCACUUCAAGAACGGCAAGCUAUAGUUGUCUAGCUACAAGCAAUUGAAUAUUCCUUCUUCUCUGUAACUAUUCAAAAGGAAAUUUUAGACAACAUAUCACGUAACUAUUCAUACACACACACACACACACAUAUAUGCACUCUUGUUGACUGAAAAAGACAACCACAACCAUAGCAUCAUUACCUAAGAAACCUUUCCCUGCUAAUCAGAUUCUUCUCGCAAGCAGGUGGCAAAACAAAAUUUAAUUAUCUAUUAUUCAUAUAUAAUAAAUUAUUUAAUAAUUUAAUUAUAUGUAUCAUGUUUUAAUUUAAAUAUUGUGAUAUCUAUUAUUACUAUAUUUAUUUUAUUUUCUUUAUUAAUUAUUUUCAAACAGAAAUAGUAAUAUCUCUUACACUCAUUAAAAAUACAUAACUCAAAUUUUAUAAAUUUUAAUAGUUUUUCAUAACCGGCGCUUAAAAUUUUUUAUUGAUUAAAAUUGAAUUUAAAUUGAAUAUUAUAAAACUAAAAUAAAAAAUAAAUACUGUAUUUAUUUUCUCGGUAUUUAUUGAAUUUAAAUUCUUAAUUAUUAUUUAUUUUUGAAAAACAAACUAUUUUAUCACUUAAUUUUUUAUAAAAAAUAUUUGCUUAAAAUUAAUAAGGGUGAAAAUAAUACAUAAUUUAACUUUAAUAAUAUCAUAAUGUUUUGACAAUUUGAAGUAUCUUGGUAUUCUUUGAUUUAAUUCGAGAGAUAAUUUUUUGUUUUAUUUGUUUCUGCUUUUACAUGUAGUUCAAGGGAUAUUUUUAGGUUGAAUGGUUGUUUAAAUUGAUGUUAGAGUUUACAUUUUUAAAUUGAAUAAUUAUUUUACAAUAAAUUUAAAACAUGAGGGUGAAUGUGAGAUGAUGUGUAACGACUACCAGACCUCACAACAUCAUCUACUGGAUCUUCAAGUUGAAUUUAUGUUCCCAGAAAUCAAAGAUGACCUUCACAUGCUAUCAGACAAUUUCGCCAUUGACAAUAGCAUCAGUUCAGAGUCUAAUGUAUGGGAAAAAAAUUGUGCAGCAAGGAUUUGGAUCUACCAGUGGAGUUGCUGUUCCCAGAAAUCAAAUAUGGUCUUCUCACGUCAGCAGACAGCCCUUCCAUUGGUAACAGCAUCAGUGCAGCGUGUAAUGCAUUGGAAAAGAAUUGUGAAGCACAAAUUUUGACAUAACAGGGGCAUCAAUUGAUCAGACAAAUCCUGCUCACCACAUGGUACUUAGAAGGAGUAGAAGAAAAGUUAAACUUCAAUCCAAAACCGGCAGCAUUCAAGAAACAGUGCAAAUGAUGGUUCUUGGACAUUGUUGCCUUGUUUAUUCGCCACCUUCAUGACAUCAAAUAUAUGGAAUAGUACUGGCUUCAAUGUUGAUACAGGGGGCUUCAACAACAAUAUCCAUUGUCUGGCAAGGUUUGUUUUUCUUGUCCCGCCAUAUUGUUGAAUUGAUGGGUCUGGAUAUACUCCUGAACACAAGAAGUUCAAUGCUUCUUCGAACAUGUAUUGCAUACGAGCUAUUGAUCUGAAGUCAGUGGCCCAUAACUCGCAUUUCUAUCCAAAUUAUUUUUGAUUGGGUGACUGGCCAUCUCCCAUUUAACUAUCAUAUUUAAAUUCUGAACUGAACCAAGGUCUACUGCAUUUGCUACUAAUCAUGGUAUAUUCUGUUAUGAGGUCUUAAGAGGAAGUAUUUAACUCUUCUUGCCUUCUCUGUCUCACCCGCCGGGAAACUUUAUUCACAGUUAAUUUAGUAGGGUCAUGCAUUUGCCAUUUUUGUACUCCUAGUAAAUGAAAUGGUUUCUAUUAUCCAUUAUUAAUAUUAUAUUUUUCCUUACAAUUGAAUAUUCUUUGCAGGUGCAUGAGUGCUGUGAUUGCUGGCAGUGAGUUAGUGAGAUUGGAACGCGAACAUCAGCAGAGACAACAGUCUCUCUCUAAUGGCCAUCUUGAUGAGGCUUUGGAUCCUGAAAUACAUAGCCGUUUGUCUGCUGAAGCAAGUAUAAAGUCUGGAAUGCAGCUUUUUGUCAAAUUUGCAACUGGUAUUGUGCUAGAUUCUUGGAGUGAAGCCAAUAGGUAAACGUGGAAUGCCUGUCAUGCCCCUCACAUAAAUACACAGACAUGCACACAAGUUGCAUAUUUUCGUCGAUUUUUGCUUGCAUAAAAUCUCAUGGUAAUUAUUUUAAACCACAAGCAUCAUUCCUUAAAAACUCGAGUUAAAUCUCUAGGGUGGCUCCAUCAAUAAUUCUUUCAGUUCAAAUACUGAGAAAGGAAUGUUGAUCUGAAUAGUCUAUUUGAUUAUCUUUAUGACAUUUGUUUCCUUUCUCAUCAUUUCAUGUAUCUCAAUCUCCAUCUCCCCUUUCUGUGCAGAUCUAAUCUUGUAGCAAAGCUGAUUUUCUUGGACCAACUUUGUGAGAUCUCACCUUAUCUUCCAAGAAGCUCCCUCGAAGCCUAUGUUCCGUACGCAAUUCUCCGUUCAAUUUAUAGCCAGUACUACUCAAAUUCUCCAUCCAUGCCUCUGGCACUACUAAGUGUCUCAUCCCGCCAUUCACCUGCUGUAUCACUAUCUCACACAUCUCCUGCAGUGAAGCAGCCUCGUGGAGACUCAACACCACAGCAUGGUGUUAAUGAUUCAGGUUAUUUUAAGGGGUCAUCAUCCCAUAACCAGAACCAUUUGUACGAUAUGGAUAGAGGAAGCCUUCGCAGCACGGAUAAUAAACAUCGAAAUGUUCGCCGCUCUGGGCCUUUGGAUUAUAGUUCAAGCAGGUCGUAGGCUCAGCUUAUGGGAGCACAGGUCGUAGCCCACUACCACGGUUUGCUGUCUCAAGAUCCGGGCCUUUAAUGUAUAAGUAGAAAACGGUGAAAAUGGCAGGGUCAGGAGUGUUGAUAAAUUAUCAGCUCCUCGUCAAUCAGACAAGUUUUGCACCCUGUAAAUGUCAUAAUUCUUUGUUCUUAUGUUCCUCGUCGCGCUGCACCUAAUCAUAUAAAUGAAUGCCCUUUGCGAGAGGAAGAUGUCGUGAAUUUGGUUGCUCAGGCUGUAGAAUCAGCACUCCUCGACUUGUGCCAUUUAUGAUACACAAGCAGAUAGAAUUUUAUUAGGUGAAUCAGAUCCAUGGCCACCACAGUAGCCCCACUAUUUUCAGUACUUGAUGUCAUAAUCCAGGUAACCCUAAUUACAUGUCCAUGCUACACCUGAGCUUACAGCUCAAGUGGUACCCUGGCAAAAUAUAUAGCAAUGAUAAGAUAUUUGAUAAUUGUCACUUGCUGCAUCAAUUUCUAUGCCAUCAUUUUCUGAAGAAAAAAAAGGAUUAGAUUCGUAUGAGAUAUGGUAGGGACCAAAAGUUUGCGGUUCUGAUAAGCAGAGGUGUCAAAUUUGAAAUUAGGACAAACCUUAAAUUUACCAUUUGGUAUAUUUUAUUUCUAAAAAAUACAGCUUUUUUAGCUAUGUUGAAUUUAUCUUCAUCACUUCUUGUGACACGACUCUGGAGGUAGAUGUCAAGUAAAUCUAUUAAGAUAUAUUGGUGACGAAUAAUAUUUAACAUAAUGGCUUCAUAAUUCAAUGGCUUCCAUUGUCAAAGCCAUUUUCCAUGGCAGAAUUGAAAGAUGUGAUGAUUCACUCCCUUCAGUAAUAUUUGAAGACUGUUUAUAUAGCAGAUAUACUAAUAUUUGAAGACUGUUUAUAUAGCAGAUAUACUAACAGAAAAACCUCAAGUAAAAUCUUCAAGACAAGUUGAGUAUUGAAAAUACCUCCACACCAAUUUAUCAGUUAGAGAUCUCCUAUACAAGAUGGAAAUGAAUAUACACGCAAAGGAAAAUCGAUGAAAAGUAUUGCAUCACUACUCACUGAUCCUUAUGCAAAGCUGAAUAUGAAACUUAUUAAUUUUGCAGAAUAAUUAUCAUAUGAUGUUCAGCAGCACGUCAUUUGCCAAUACAUUCACAUCUCUCAUAUUUCUUUUAUUUAUUUAUUUAUUUUGAGCAUAUGAAUGUUAUUUGACAGUCACCUCAAUUUGUGGGGUUAGGUUCAUAUCCUACAAACUGUUCCGGGAACAUAAUUGUCAGAGAUUCUAAGAAAAUUGCUCUAAUGUAAAAGAAGAAGAAGAAGAAGAAGAAGAAGAAAAAGAAAGAAAUAAUAAUAAAAUAAAAAGAAAAGCAGGAAAAUCUUGCUUGCGCAAAAUCGCAAGUGAAACAUCAAAUUUUCGUGAGUUUCAUAGCCAAAACACAGCUGCUGAAGAUAACCAAAUACCAUAUUACUGCGUUUGAAAAAAAAAAACAGAAGCUAACGCAGAGCCAAAUACCAUCUAAUAGUCACAAAUCACUCUCUGAGCUGUAAGUUUGUUGGAUUGUUAUGCUUUGCUUUGCCUUUUCUUUUGCCAACAGAACCUUAUCUUGACUUCAUCUGCCUAGUAUCAUUGAUGACGUACUUGAUUUGCUUUUUCUUUAAGAGCUGUUUCUUUGCCUUUUCUUUUGCCAACAAAAUCAAUGGUGGUCAACAUCGAGUUGACUUGUAAAAUAGUAUAGUCAACUUAUAUUUAAUGUAUAAAAUUAGAUUAAAAUUUGAAAAUGAGUAAAAUUGGUUAAACUCAUUUAAUCUUGAUAAAAUUGGUACAUUUGGAUUGAUUUUACAAGUUUGAAAAAAAAGUAUAAAAUUAUAUAAUUUGGUAAUCUCUAUCUUAGCAUUUUUAUUAUUUCAAAUUUAUAUCUUACAAAACUUAUAUAAUUUAAUAAUCAAGAUUUUGAUUUUGACUAUAAUUAUUAUAAUUUUUUUUAAUGAUAUAAGUUAUAUAUCGAUUUUAUUUUUGUAAAAUGAAAAUACCUCUUUAUUUUUAACAGUUCCUUAUAUAAACUACUAAUAUAUCAAUAGACAUAUUCCUUCGUUUUAGUUGUCAAAUAUAUAGAAUAAAAAUUAUAAAUUAGCAUGCUUGAUUCUUGAAGUAAUUAAUAUUAAAUGACCUAUUAAAAUUUGAAAUGACUUGUUUUUUGUAAAUGACGAAGUAAGUGAGUUGAUUUGUCUAAAAAGUAGAGCAAUCAAUGUGAAAAAAAUUUAGUGUUUAGACUUUUCUAUUAUUUAUUUCAUUUUCAUUUUAAUUAUGCUAUAGUGUUAAUUAAUAUUUGACUGAAAUUAUUAAUAUAUAAUUAGUUAAAAUAUUUUAUUUUUUAUUUUAUGAUUUGAAUUUAUAAUUUGAGUCUAUUUAUUAUAUAUUCCGUGUCGUGUUAAAAAAAUAUUUUUAACAACCUGACAACCUUACUUUUGUGGGUAUGUCAUUUAGAAAUAUGAAUCACAAUAAUGGAAGAAUGCAAAUUCCAAAUCUGAGAAAUCAAAGAAAAUGUCACUGUGCUUGAAUUCCAAGCCAAGGAGACCAAAACGUCAACUCUGGCAACAAUGGCAAAAUAUCAAAGAAAAUGUAUUCAGCCUCUAUAAUGGAUGCAUUAUAUAAUGUCACUGUGCUUGGACCUGAGGCCAAAUGUGUAAAGAGCUUUCCAAAUGUUUAUUGGAUGCAUUUGUCUGAGUUCUAUAUAUCCCUCCAUUUGAUCUAGUGGGAGACACAUAAAAUGUUUAAAUUUUAUUUAUUAAAGUUUUGUUUUUAUUGAAAGGUUAUUAAAAAAAUAGAAAACUUUAAUAAUACCGAAUAAAUUAUUAGUCUUGGUUUUGCACUUUUGCAUUUUUUUCUCUCGUGAUUGCACCUUUAUUGGUAUAAAUUAUUCGCCCUAUCCUAAAGUCUUGUACGUAGUGGGAUGACUUGUGAUUGACUUGAAUAUCUACAGCUCAGUACUGGCGGCCAAUGCUCCUAAUUUUCUUUCUGCAAGUUUUCAUCCAAUAUUCUUUGCGCUAAUUGUUUCUCUAAAAAAAUUAACAGAAAAAGAUAACAAAAUAAAGAAAUCUUCCAAAGAAACUUUUCAAAGUGGAUUCAUUUGAUUGAUAAAAGACCAAAGAAAGGAAGAAGGAUAUAACAAAAACAUUAACAUCGUGAAUGGAAGACAUCACCGUAGGUCCAUCCAUAGCUGAAACUAGAAGACAUCCAAGAAUGGAAGAAGCUGGUCUAGUGAUAAAAAUCUGGAAUUAAAAGGUUUGCUUCCCCUAUAAUUUCAGGUUCAAGCCCUAUAAUUUUUAAUAUUGAUGGUUACUGGAAGCUUAUUUGGUUGAUAACUUUAAGGCCCCUGAGUAUUAGUCGAGGAGCAUGCAAGCUGGUCCGGACACCUCACGUGAAUUAAAAAAAAAAUAAAAAAUGGACUUGACCAGUCCGAGUUUUAACUGGUCAAGUCUUAGGUUUGCUUUCUAAUGGUCACGAGUUCGAGUUUUUUUAAAACUACUGAAAACUUAUAUUAUCAUUAGUUUCAGAGUUCAUAAAAUUAGUCGAAAUACAUAUAAAUUGACCCGAAAACCAAGUUAGUAGCAAUAAUAAUAAAAAAAGAAUGGAAGACAUCCAAUUAAGACGCCGCUGUCUAUCUUCGAUCAUGACCAAGACAAACGAAUUCCUGCAAAAAGGGUAUUCCAACCUUAUGGCUCCCAUUAUAUACGUAUGCAGGGCUAAUCAUUUUAUACAUCCUCCUUAAGAAAGUAAACAACCAAGGCCAUGGCUUCCCAAAUCUUGCUCUUAUCCAUACCUUCCUUGUUUUUUUCCUUCCUUGCUUAUGCUUCCUUCUUUACUUCUUUUGCUUACUCGGCUGCCGGAGCUGAAAUAGCAAAUGGAAGGAAGGAAGCAGAAGCUCUUCUAGAAUGGAAAGUCAGUCUUGACAACCGAAGCCAGUCUCUCCUGUCUUCAUGGGCUGGAGACAGCCCUUGCAACUGGGUCGGAAUCAGUUGCGACAAGUCUGGUAGUGUUACCAACAUAAGCCUGCCUAAUUCUAGAUUGAGAGGCAGGCUUAAUAGUCUCAGAUUCUCUUCCUUUCCUAACUUGAUUGUGCUUAUCCUUCGCAACAACUCCCUCUAUGGGUCCGUUCCUUCACAUAUAGGUAACCUUUCUAACCUCUCCAUCCUUGACUUGUCUUACAAUAGCAUUUCUGGCAACAUUCCAUCAGAAAUAAGCACAAUGAAAAGCAUUAGAGUGUUUACCCUGUCUGUAAACCAUAUCGGUGGCUCCAUCCCUAAUGAAAUAGGAAUGUUGAGUUCACUUUCUCAAAUAAUUUGGCAUGAAAAUGAUCUCGGAGGAUUAGUGCAUGCGUCUAUAAGCAAUUUGAGCCACUUAACUGAUCUUUAUCUCAAUGGAAAUCAACUUUCUGGUGGCAUACCACCAGAAGUUGGAAAAUUGAGAUCUCUUGAUUUGCUUGAUUUGUCAAAUAACAACCUUAGUGGUGUUCUUCCUACGUCCAUAGGAAACUUAAGCAACUUGUCUUUUCUUUACCUUUACAAAAACAACUCUCUGGUUUCUUACCUAGAGAAGUAGGGCUUGAAGACCUAUUAACCCUUCAGUUGUCCGAUAAUAAUUUUGAAGGUCCAAUCCCUACUUCCAUAGGAAAUAUGAAAUCUCUCAAUUUCCUUCAAUUAAAACAAAAUUUUCUCACUGGUAAAAUACCUGCGUCUAUUGGAAACCUCACGAGAUAUCUCACUUCUUUAGAUUUGUCAUAUAAUAAUCUAAAUGGUACAAUACCAGCAUCUUUAGGAAAUUUAAUAAUCUUAUCUAAACUUCUCCUUGCGAAUAACAGUCUUUUUGGUCCCAUUCCUCCAGAAAUGAACAAUCUUACACAUUUAUAUUUGUUACAAAUAUAUUCUAAUAGAUUGUCUGGUAAUCUACCACGAGAUGUGUGCCUUGGUGGAUUACUUUCAUAUUUUAGUGCGUUGGGCAAUUAUUUCACGGGACCUAUCCCAAAAAGCUUGAGAAAUUGCAGCAGCUUGUUGAGACUCAGACUUGAGAGAAACCAGCUUAGUGGAAACAUAUCUGAAGCUUUUGGCACACAUCCCUAUUUGUACUACAUGGGUUUGAGUGAUAAUGAAUUGCAUGGUGAACUUUCAUGGAAAUGGGAUCAGUUUAACAAUCUGACAGUCUUCAAAAUUUCUGGAAACAAAAUCUCUGGAAUAAUACCAGCUGCUCUUGGAAAGGCAACUCAUCUACAAGUUCUUGACCUCUCGUCAAAUCAACUAGUUGGGAGAAUUCCAAAAGAAUUGGGAAAUUUAAAGUUAAUUGAACUUGCACUCAACGAUAACAAC